AUUGAACGCUGGCGGCAGGCCUGACACAUGCAAGUCGAACGGUAACAGGAAGAAGCUUGCUUCUUUGCUGACGAGUGGCGGACGGGUGAGUAAUGUCUGGGAAACUGCCUGAUGGAGGGGGAUAACUACUGGAAACGGUAGCUAAUACCGCAUAACGUCGCAAGACCAAAGAGGGGGACCUUCGGGCCUCUUGCCAUCGGAUGUGCCCAGAUGGGAUUCGCUAGUAGGUGGGGUAACGGGUCGCCAAGGCGACGAUCCCGAGCUGGUCUUAGAGGAGGACCAGCCACCCUGGCACUGAGACACGGCGCAGACUCCUACGGGAGGCAGCAGUGGGGAAUAGUGUACAAUGGGCGAAAGCCUGAUCCACCAAUGCCGCGUGAGCGAUUAAGCCCUUAGGGUGGUAAAGCUCUUGUCCCCGGGAGGAUAAUGACACUACCGGGAGAAUAAGCUCCGGCUAACCCCGUG
rnacentral:rRNA from 1 species